rnacentral:tRNA from 1 species
GAGGGUAUAGCUCAGGUGGUGGAGUGCAUGCUUAGCACGCGCGAAGCCCUGGGUUCCAUCCCCAGUACCUCCU